AACGAACGCUGGCGGCAGGCCUAACACAUGCAAGUCGAACGCUCUAGUAAUAGAGAGUGGCAGACGGGUGAGUAACGCGUGGGAAUCUUCCUAUCGGUACGGAAUAGCUCAGCGAAACUUGGGGUAAUACCGCAUACGCCCUUCGGGGGAAAGAUUUAUCGCCGAUAGAUGAGCCCGCGUCUGAUUAGCUAGUUGGU
rnacentral:rRNA from 1 species